GCACUGGAUAGCUCAGCUGGUAGAACAUGAGACUCUUAAUCUCAGGGUCGUGGUUUGUGCCCCAUGUUGGGCA